rnacentral:misc_RNA from 1 species
GUUUAAGAUGGAGGGUUUAAGAGUCUGUGACAAUUUGUACUGGUUGAAAGGAAGUGGGAAGUUUAGCCUUAAUGGGUUAUCUGUGGCAUACUUAUCUGGUAGGCGAACUCCAAGUGGAACUCAAUUCGGAACAUAUAGUCAAGAUGAUGUUGAUGCUUUGAGGGCUUUAGCAGAGGAUCCAGUAACAGUAGACAUCUUUCUUACUAAUGAGUGGCCCAGUGGAGUAACAAAUGGAACGACAUCAAAAGCUCCUGUAGAAAUUUCUGAUUCAUCUGGGAGUGAUCCCACAGUGUCAGAGUUGGUAACUGAGAUUAAGCCUCGGUAUCAUGUUGCAGGAACUGUGGGUGUAUACUUUGAUCGUG